rnacentral:sRNA from 1 species
AGAACGGGAAAGUGAUCCAGGAGAUUGUGGAUAAAUCUGGUGUGGUGAGGGUUCGAGUGGAAGGUGAUAAUGACAAGAAGAACCCCAGGGAGGAGGUAUGGUUCUCCUAUACCUAUAGAGAUUGGUUUCCAGAAGUAAAUGGGAUUGUCCUCUGAGGGCUGGGAUUGUUCUUUGAGAGGGUGGAACACGGAAACUUGUUUAACACUAGUAGAUUUAGAGCCCAGAAUGAUCCCACUGGGCAGGCUCCCCUAGGAGACUGGGUGGCGUUAAUCCUUUCAUUUCAUUUUCCUUUCUGAUCCAUCGUUUCUGCUCUCUGUUCUCCAGGGAAUGGUUCCCUUCAUUUUUGUUGGCACCCGAGAGAACAUCAGCAAUGCCCAGGCUUUGCUGGAGUAUCACCUCUCCUACCUGCAGGAGGUAGAGCAGCUUCGCUUGGAGAGGCUGCAAAUUGAUGAGCAGCU